GGACAGGUGGUUGAAGAGAAGCGAGGUUCUCAGCAGCAGCCCCAACCUGGCAAAGUCUGAAUCCACACGGCAUCUGGUCUGCAUGGGAGACCCAGAACUUCCUAAAGCCCCGAUCUAUUUCCUAAUUGACUUCAGCGGCUUUCCGUGCUCUGGCGGAACGAGGGAGGGCCAAGGUCUCGGCGCCCUCUGCUCCGGCUUUUAUCUGCCCGAUUUCAGGCGGCUGGAGCCCCGGCCCCGACUCAGCUGGAGAAAUGUCGAAACCAUAUUAAAUCACAGGAUGCAGGCAGGUGACAGGGCAACACCGGUCACCCGCCUUUUGACCGGCCCCCUGGCCCUGAGCCCACAGCAGGGAGAGGUCGCUGUGCUCUGAGACCCGACUCGUUGGAUCCUUGCUUCCCUGUAAUCAUGAUCCCGGACUUGGAAGCAGUCUUCUCGAGGAACUGGCUCAUGUGAUGGUGGAGUCUUGGCAAAUCCAAAAUCUGCCGGGUAAUACGUCAGGCUGGAGACUCGGGGAAGCGUUGUGGUUCGAGUUCAAAAGCGGUCUGCUGACAGAAUUCUUUCUUGCUCAAGAGAGGUCAGUCUCUUCUGCCAAGGCCUUUGACUGACUGGAUGAGGCCCACCCACAUUGGGGAAGGCAAUAUGCUUUGCUCAGAGUUCCGUGAUUUAAAUGGCAGUCUCAUCCCCCGCCAAACAGCCUCACGGAAACAUCUAGAAUAGUGUCAGACCGACUGUCUGGGCACUGUGGCCUAACCAAGUGGACAUAAAAUCAACCAUCAGAGUGCAUCAGCUUUGGAUUCCAACCCCUCAGCCCCGUGUGGGCCACUCUCUUUUUCUGUUGAGGGUCCUCGGGAGAAAAGGCGUGACAAGCAUUGUUCCUGCCCCGGGAAGGGACCCUGAGGCCUGCCCUCUGUGCUGAGGUUGAGCCCUGAAGGGAAUGGAAGAAUUCCACGUGCAGCGAUUUCCAAAUUCGGAAGUGCAAGAGUUAAGGCAUUUUCUCUUUCCGUGACUGGUCUUGACAUAUCUGGGGCCCCCUUCUGCAGGGUGGAGGGAAUCUGAGCUCAGUUCCAGGGUGGCUCCCACCUUUCCCCAGGAUCGUGGCCACUCCAGGGCCCACCCUCCAUCUUGGUACCCGUGGAAGCAUCCUCUGCCUUCUCCUGGGAUGCGGAGGGAGCCGGAGCCCCGAGCCAGCCCUCUUCCGGCCACUCCUGUGCCUGAUCGGGACGCCUGCAGCCUUGGCCCCUGGAUGUGUCAUUGUCUCUUUCUUCUCCAGGGUCUUUCCUCCCUUCUUCGGGCUGUGCUAGGGCAAGUUGCUCAGGACCCCUCCGCUCUCAGCU